rnacentral:rRNA from 1 species
UGGGGAAUUUUGGACAAUGGGCGCAAGCCUGAUCCAGCAAUGCCGCGUGCAGGAUGAAGGCCUUCGGGUUGUAAACUGCUUUUUGUACGGAACGAAACGGCUCCUAUUAAUACUGGGGGCUAAUGACGGUACCGUAAGAAUAAGCACCGGCUAACUACGUGCCAGCAGCCGCGGUAAUACGUAGGGUGCGAGCGUUAAUCGGAAUUACUGGGCGUAAAGCGUGCGCAGGCGGUUAUAUAAGACAGAUGUGAAAUCCCCGGGCUCAACCUGGGACCUGCAUAUGUGACUGUAUAGCUAGAGUACGGUAGAGGGGGAUGGAAUUCCGCGUGUAGCAGUGAAAUGCGUAGAUAUGCGGAGGAACACCGAUGGCGAAGGCAA